rnacentral:lncRNA from 1 species
AUGUCGUCGAGGACCAUCGCCUGGGAACAACCUAAGCGUUGGUGGUGGAUUGAAGCCUCGCCGGAACGCAUAAAAUUCUGGGCGCUCAAGAAAUAUUCAACAUCAUGAAUAUCCAUCGCUUCUGCAAGAUUAACAUGAACGGCAGGUAACAAUAAAGGCCAUUGAAUACGUUCUA